AGGAGCACCUUCCCUCCCUUUGCAUUCCGCUCUAUAAUUGGACGCCUGCUUUUCUUCCUUUUUCUUCUUAUCAGAUCCAGGUCUCAGAGAGGGAGAGAACAACUGGAAAGAGACUCUAAAACACCUCCUGGAGGCAGGGAGCUCAGGAGUCAAAGGAAGAAGCUAAGAGAAAAGGGGGGAAGGGAAGAAGAGAGAGCAAGUCUUGGGAUAGUCCUCCGCAGAGCUCUGUUCUUUUCCCAGACCAAGGGUUCCCCUCUCCAAGUACCCUGCCCUUGCACAGUGAUGAUCAUCAAGGAAUGUUGAGUCAUGUGACCCAUUAUGCCAGCAAUCCUAUGGGAUUUUUAUAUGUAUGCACUGAAGGUGGAGUUCUCUUGAAGAAGGCUGGGAAACCAACUUUUUGGCCAAAGCUGAGGAGUGAUCAGCAGGAGGAACAUUAAUUGAACUAUACAAAAAGACUUGUCCAUAGUGACUCUUUUAAGACUGCUCCUGAGAACUGAGUUGUGGCUACAUAUCUCACACUUUGAAAAGGGCUGCUGAACUGGUUUGGAGUACCCUAGCCCAGUGAAAAUCUUUGGUUCUGGUGAUCCAAGACCUAAGUAGGGAACAGCUGCUGCAAACCACAACCCCAGGACCCUGAGGAUGAGAAGUAGAUGGCAUCCAGAGGAGACUGCACCCCAAGAUUCUGGAUGAGGAAUGAGGAUACCCAGCACCCCAAAGACACUGUGCCUUUCUCUGUGUACUAUCCAUCUUAUCAGGUCACCCUAUGGUUUUGAAUUCUACUACAGGUGGGAUUAAUUUUGGUAUUGGGGGUCUUUCUUUGUGGCCAGUUCUGCCCCCACAUUUGACAAUGAUCAGUCCCUGUCAUGUGACCCCACACCCUCCCAGUUCUCUAGUUGAAUAUAUCUCCCUGCUUGGCUCUGUAUACCUACUCAGACAGAAGCCUGGCCAUCCCAGGAUCAGUACCCCUAUGACAGAGAUCCCUCAUGUGUAAUUACAGUGAACCUCUAUGCCUUUCCCAGAUUUCACAGGACUUACAGGCUGUCCUAUCAUUCUGUUAUCUCUCUGACUCCUCACCUUGAUUAAAUUGUGUUCCUGUAAAAAUUAGGUUCCAAACAGAAGCUCCUUGGCUUACUUUUGGGGUUCAGUGAGACUGAUCCCCUUGACCAACAGGUGGGAAUGUUAAUAUAAAUGUAUAGCUCACCGGGAUUUGAUGGAGGUACCUUAUUAUCCAAAUGGAUUUUAUGAGA